rnacentral:rRNA from 1 species
CCUACGGGUGGCAGCAGUGGGGAAUAUUGCACAAUGGGGGAAACCCUGAUGCAGCGACGCCGCGUGAGUGAUGAAGUUCUUCGUUAUGUAAAGUUCUAUCCUCAGGGAAGAAAAUGACGAUACUUGAUUAAGAAUCCCCGGCUAACUACUUGCCAGCAGCCGCGGUAAUACGUAGUGGGCAAGCGUUAUCCGGAUUGACUGGGGGUAAAGGGAGCGUAGACGGGAGUGCAAGUCUGGAGUGAAAGACGGGGGCUCAACCCCCGGACUACUAUGGAAACUGUACGGCUGGAGUGCAGGAGAGGUAAGUGGAAUUCCUAGUGUAGCGGUGAAAUGCGUAGAUAUUAGGAGGAACACCAGUGGCGAAGGCGGAUUACUGGACUGUAACUGACGUUGAGGCUCGAAAGCGUGGGGAGCAAACAGGAUUAGAUACCCCAGUAGUC